UGGGAAGAGUAAUGUAGCCAGCAGAUGUCAUACAUCUGUAUUUUUUUUAUCAGCUCGUCAUAUCUUUUUUAAAAGGCAAACCAGAAGUCUUAGCCUCUAAAUCAUAUUAACCUGUCUGGAUUACUCUGAAAACUUUCAAACCACUUUAAAGGCAAAGUGAUUUUAUUUUACUUUAAAAAAUAUUUCUGUAUUGAAAGUACUUAUAUAUGGGUUUUUUCAGAUUUUUAUUACUCUUUGAACAUCUCACACCUGCACACAAUGUAUUUUGAUAAUACAUUCCCCACUUUUUCUCCAGUUCCAUCCAGAGUACAUGCACUGGUUCACGCGCGCGCGCGUGCGCGCGCGCGCGCACACACACACACACACACACACACACACACCUUUCCUCUUUCAGGUUCUUUUCUUUUAUAACCCACUGGGUCCUAUUAGUGCUGGCCAUAGAUAUGGUUCUGAGGCUGUCACUCAGGUUCUCAGGAGCAAAUGUGACUGUGACUCAGGAGAGUGGAUAUAUACUAUUCUUGCCAGCACAGUGAGGUCCUGUGUCCCUCUCCAUGCCAGAAUCACAAGUCUCAAAUCCAAGGACUGGAAUUCAAACUACAAACACAAAGCUUGUCUUAUCAAACAACCUGCAACGUCUCCGACACAUCCUUCAACAUAGACUACAUCCUCACCAUGCUGUGAAGUCCUUUCAGCUACAGUAUAACUACCAGUUGUCCAUCACCUCCUAACUUCUACAGGUGUCUGAAAAUGCCAAAGGAGGGUGUCAGAUCCCUGGAGUUGGAAUCACCUGAGGUUGGAGCUGCCUAACGUGAGAAUUCUUUGUCAGCUUUGGAACCAACCUGAUUGGGGUGAUGAGAAAUAGAGGAAUUACAGACACAUGUAUAGAAAACUGAGACUGGGUAGGCAGUGCACUGUGAUGGAGAUGUGAUAAUAAGAACUUGGAAACUCA